GACUCAGUGGGGUAAAGAUUGUGGGAGUUAAUGACCAGGAGGAGGGCAGUUAGCAGGACCUAAAGUGAAUAAGUAAAUAUGUAAGUAAGUAAGAAAAUAAUUAAAUAAAUAAGAAACAAAGAGAACAACACAAAGAAUCAAAAAAAAAAGCAGAAAUGAAAAGAGGAGACACAACAAGACACUGAGGAAAUUCAAAGAAUCAUUAGGUCUUACUUCAAAAGCCUUUACUCCACAAAAUUGGAAAAUCUAAAUGAAAUAGAUUAUUUUCUAGACAGAUAAAAAUUACCAAAGCUAAAUCAAGACUUAGGUAAACUAUCUGAAUAGUCCUACAAACCCUGAGGAAAUAGAAGCAAUCAUUAAAAGUCUCCUAACUAAUAAAAGCCCAGGGCCAGAUGGUUUUACUGCAGAAUUAUACUAGACUUUAAAAUAAGAGCUAAUAUUAACACUCCUCAAACUAUUCCACAAAACAGAAACAGAAGGAGCACUGCCAAACUCAUUCUAUGAGACCACAGUCACCAUGGUACCUAAACCACACGAAGACUCAACAAAGAAAGAGAAUUUCAGACCAAUUUCCCUUAUGAAUGUUGAUGCAAAAAUAUUCAAUAAAAUAUUUGCAAAUUAAAUCCAAGAAUAUAUCAAAGAUAUAUUUGCAAAAAUAUUCAAUAAAAUAUUUGCAAAUUAAAUCCAAGAAUAUAUCAAAGACAUCAUCCACCCUGACCAAGUAGACCUCGUCCCAGGGCUGCAGGGUGGUUGAAUAUAUGAAAAUCCAUCAACGAAAUCCACCAUAAA
rnacentral:lncRNA from 1 species